GAGAGUUAAACAGUACGUGAAAUUGUUGAAAGGGAAACGAUUGAAGCCAGUCGUACCUUCGGGUAAUCAGCCUUUCGGGUGCGAUUCUGUGGAGUGUGAGGAGCUUAAACACCUUCAUGUUUUGCAUAUUCGUACUCUUGGGUGUACUUGUCCGUGUGGUUGGUUAACAUCAAUUUUGGUGGUCAUAAAAUGACUGGGGGAAUGUAGCUUCGAUCUUUUAUUGAAGUGUUAUAGCCUUCGGUAGAUGUGAUGAUCGAGAUUGAGGAUUGCAACGGAUACCCUUCGGGGCUACCUGUCUGGUCUCUGAUCGUUGCUCUGGUGCCGAAAGCUUGCUUACGGUUAUCAAAGUCGAUGGUCAAUAGGUUAGAACGGGUUAAAUUCGUUAAGGAUGUUGACGUAAUGGCUUUAAACGA
rnacentral:rRNA from 1 species